rnacentral:rRNA from 1 species
GAGUUUGAUUCUGGCUCAGGAUGAACGCUGGCGGCGUGCUUAACACAUGCAAGUCGAACGAAGCGGGAAGGAAGAAGUUUUUCGAAAUGGAUUUUUUCUUUGCUUAGUGGCGGACGGGUGCGUAACACGUAGGUAACCUGCCCUGUGCUUGGGAAUAACUCCGGGAAACCGGUGCUAAUGCCGAAUAAUAUCGCCUGUCGGCAUCGAGAGGCGAUCAAAGAAUUUCGGCACAGGAUGGGCCUGCGCCGGAUUAGCUGGUUGGUGAGGUAACGGCUCACCAAGGCGACGAUCCGUAGCCGACCUGAGAGGGUGAUCGGCCACACUGGAACUGAGACACGGUCCAGACUCCUACGGGAGGCAGCAGUGGGGAAUAUUGCACAAUGGGGGGAACCCUGAUGCAGCAACGCCGCGUGAGCGAUGAAGGCUUUCGAGUCGUAAAGCUCUGUCCUAUGGGAAGA